CAUGCUCAGUGCUUCUGACAUUUGGCAAAGGGACCAACGUUCUUCACGACAGUUGCCCUGGAAGAGGACGCCAUGACCUCCACCCUCACAGCCCUGCUCUGCCUUGGACUGACCCUUGUCCCCAGGAACCCAGUGCUGGCAGGAAUCCCACCCAAGCCUAAAAUCACAGUUGAACCAAAGUCUGUGUUCACUGCCCA